rnacentral:rRNA from 1 species
CAGCAGCCACGGUAAAACGUAGGUGGCAAGCGUUGUCCGGAAUUAUUGGGCGUAAAGGGCUCGCAGGCGGUUUCUUAAGUCUGAUGUGAAAGCCCCCGGCUCAACCGGGGAGGGUCAUUGGAAACUGGGAAACUUGAGUGCAGAAGAGGAGAGUGGAAUUCCACGCGUAGCGGUGAAAUGCGUAGAGAUGUGGAGGAACACCAGUGGCGAAGGCGACUCUCUGGUCUGUAACUGACGCUGAGAGACGAAAGCUAGGGGAGCAAAUGGGAUUAGAUACCCCCGUAGUCCCUGUCUCUUAUAC